GGAAAUAUGGCAGCGACAGAUAGCAGCUGUCAAUCAUAAUGACUGUCAGCCCUCGGUUUAACAAUCGCGGAUUUGCAGUGAACACUUUUUACAAGCGAGCGUGGCGUUCAUGUCGCCCAGCUGAUCUCAGAACAAGAGCAGCGUGUGUGAGAGCGAAGAGCGAGGAAGAGGAGGAGGAGGAGGAAGCAUAAGGCCAUCGCAUGUCAAAUGAAGUCAGGGCGGUGACGACUGCUUGGCUUUUUAGGUAGCCUACUGGGAUCAGAAACUGCUUCAGGCUGCUUUCUGUUCUGCCUGGUAAGUUUUUUAAAGCAUUUAAAUUUAGUUCAUACCACAUUAAUAAACUGCUGCAUCUAAAUCCCACAGUUUGAGUUUUUUGACAGCAGUAAAAUCAGAACUUUUUGUAGUUCAUGGGAUGAUGCAUACAUGCAAUUCCAGUUAAAAUGGAGAAUGUUUACAGCCAGCUUGUUUUAAAGUUUCAAUUAUUGUGUGUUUGUAGUUCUAUCAUGAUGCAGAUCUAAAACCUGACUGAAUGAUAACUGUUUAAGUUGGUUAAGAAUAAUCCAAAAAUGUGUGUCAACUGAUUAGUUGCAGAACUAAAAUAAAAUAACAGCAUGCACAAAUAAUAAGAAUAUCAAUUAGAGUAGAAUUUUACAUUCUUCAGAAACAAAAAACAUUACACUUUUUUUUUAAUUCUCAGUGACCAAAUGACGUCGCAGCCAGGAUGUGACAACAAGCUCAAUUCAAACGUUGUGCUGCCUUCUUGUCAGGCGUCUUCCUCCAUUGCACCGACGCUCUUAUUUAAUCUGGAAGCCAGCGCAGGUCAAGUGUUCGCUGUCAAACUGACAAACAUUAACCUGCCUCAGAACGUACGAGUUCAGUCACGCAGCUCCGUGAGCGAGACUGAAACUAACAGAGAACCUGAGGGUGAGCACCGAGUGUGAGUUUUAAUGAAGUGUGCAUCUGGCUCCUGAACAUGCCAGCAGAAACACCCCGGCCCCAGGGUGCAAAGUGCCAUCCUGAGGUCGUCUGGAUGAGUAGCAGCCCUCUAAAUGCUCGUGUGAAAGCAUCGGUUUGAAUAGACGAGGCUGGCAGAAAGCCAGCAUAACACGUUGGAAAGACGCCUUUAUAUGGGAAAUGCCCAGUUCAAAGUGUCUAUAGGCCACCUAAUAUGAUUCAUUCAACAAGUUACUAGAGAUUCAUGGGCUUUGCAAAACAUGUUCAUUACCACAAAAUAAUUCUUGGAUAAUAAGAUUUCAGUCUGCUCAGUUCUGCCUAUUUUGAGAUCUUUUCAGAAGGAGCUCAUUUUAGGGCCUCUGUCACUUUAAAUCCAAAGAAGCAGCUGCUGGCCACGCCCCAAAUUCAACAUUUACACUCACACAAGAAAUAGCUGCAAAAUGAUGCGUAUUUAUACAACCGUACAUCUUUGAAAAGCAGAAGUGAAGCCUCCUGCUCAACCAAAAAGAAUGCAGCAAGUGGUUUCUUGGGAAGUUCACAACAAAACAUUUGUCUUUUCCAGGAGUCAUUGUACAGGGCAUGCAGCGGUAAAACCAGCUGACCAAACAUGCUGGUGCUCAGCUUGUGUUGCUAGGCAACGGGGCUGGGCUAGGUAAUGGCGCAGUACCCAACGAAUGUGACUUACCAAUCUGGAGGUUUUUAAAACGUCUCAUUUUCCAGACACCAAAAAACAUCAAAAUAUUGC